UACGAAUGGGGCAAGCGUUGUUCGGAAUCACUGGGCUUAAAGCGUAUGCAGGUGGACUAGCAAGUCAGACGUGAAAUCCCUGGGCUCAACCCAGGAAUUGCUUUUGAAACUGCAAGUCUAGAAUCCCGGAGAGGUUAGUAGAAUUCCGAGUGUAGAGGUGAAAUUCGCAGAUAUUCGGAGGAAUACCAGUGGCGCAAGCGGCUAACUGGACGGGCAUUGACACUCAGAUACGAAAGCGUGGGUAGCAAACAGG
rnacentral:rRNA from 1 species